rnacentral:rRNA from 1 species
UAGUUGGUGGGGUAAAGGCCUACCAAGGCGACGAUCUGUAGCGGGUCUGAGAGGAUGAUCCGCCACACUGGAACUGAGACACGGUCCAGACUCCUACGGGAGGCAGCAGUGGGGAAUUUUGGACAAUGGGGGCAACCCUGAUCCAGCCAUGCCGCGUGAGUGAAGAAGGCCUUCGGGUUGUAAAGCUCUUUCGUCCGGGAAGAAAUCGCACAGGCUAAUACUCUGUGUGGAUGACGGUACCGGAAUAAGAAGCACCGGCUAACUACGUGCCAGCAGCCGCGGUAAUACGUAGGGUGCGAGCGUUAAUCGGAAUUACUGGGCGUAAAGCGUGCGCAGGCGGUUUUGUAAGACAGGCGUGAAAUCCCCGGGCUCAACCUGGGAACUGCGCUUGUGACUGCAAGGCUAGAGUACGACAGAGGGGGGUGGAAUUCCACGUGUAGCAGUGAAAUGCGUAGAGAUGUGGAGGAACACCGAUGGCGAAGGCAGCCCCCUGGGCCGAUACUGACGCUCAUGCACGAAAGCGUGGGUAGCAAACAGGAUUAGAUACCCUGGUAGUCCACGCCCUAAACGAUGUCAACUAGGUGUUGGGUGGGUAAAACCAUUUAGUACCGUAGCUAACGCGUGAAGUUGACCGCCUGGGGAGUACGGCCGCAAGGUUAAAACUCAAAGGAAUUGACGGGGACCCGCACAAGCGGUGGAUGAUGUGGAUUAAUUCGAUGCAACGCGAAAAACCUUACCUACCCUUGACAUGUCCGGAAUCCCUGAGAGAUUGGGGAGUGCCCGAAAGGGAAUCGGAACACAGGUGCUGCAUGGCUGUCGUCAGCUCGUGUCGUGAGAUGUUGGGUUAAGUCCCGCAACGAGCGCAACCCUUGUCGUUAAUUGCCAUCAUUCAGUUGGGCACUUUAGCGAGACUGCCGG